CUCUGGUAAAGGUUGGGUUCAGCGGACUGCGUCGUUUUCACUUCUAGUGUUUGCUUGAUCGGAGUCUCCGGUUUCCACAUACAACAUUCCGACUAGGAUUUUGAAAUCGGGUUUACUAGAAAGGUUUGCAAUGCCUCCUACUUCAGAACGAGAAAGAGAUUCAAGUGACUUUAAAUUGGAAGACUACAAAUAUAAGUACUAUAAAGAUUUGACGAGGGGAACCAUCAAAAUUAAAAUUUCCAAUUCAGCUUAUAGAUGCCCCUACUGUUUUGGAAAGAAGGGAGAUUACCUUUUUGAGGAACUUCUCCAACAUGCUUAUCGUCUUGGUAGAGAUUCUCAAAGGAUAGAUCUCAAAGAGAAAGCUUGGCACUUAGCUUUGGAGAAGUAUAUGAGCAGGCAUAUUAAUGUGCAUGCCGAUCAAAUUGAGUCUUCAAAUGCACAUAAACAUGAUAGGAAGAGUUCAGGGUAUGUCAACAAAACUGAAUCUUCCAAUGUACAUAAACCAGAUAGGGAUCACUUGGUUGUUUCUUCCACCUCACAUGAACAUGGUAAGGAUCAGUUGCUUGUUUGGCCAUGGAUGGGAAUUAUUGCUAAUAUCCAAACUCAGUUUCAAGAUGGCCGUCGUGUUGGGGAAAGUGGUGCAAAACUUAGAGAUGAACUAACAAGAAAGGGGUUUGAACUAGUUAGGGUGCAUCCUUUAUGGAAUCACUUGGGUCAUUCAGGAUUUGCUAUUGUAGACUUUAAGAAAGACUGGGAUGGCUUCAAGAAUGCACUGAUGUUUGACAAAGAUUUUGAAGUUAAUCAUUGUGGGAGGAAGGAAUAUUUUAAGCUUCCACAAAAUGAUAGAGGAAAUAAGUUGUAUGGUUGGGUUGCAUGUGACGAUGACUAUCACUCCAAAAGUAUUAUUGGUGAUCAUUUGAGAAGGAACGGGGAUUUAAAAAGUGUUUCUGGUAAAGAAACUGAGGAUCGAAGGAAAGAUUCAAAACUUGUGACCAAGUUAACCAAUACCUUGCAAAUGAAUCAUGAGCGCCUUAAAGAAAUGGAGGUCAAGUACAAUGAAACCAGCAUGUCUUUGAACAAACUAAUGGAAGAAAAGGAUGCUAUCAUCAGAUAUUAUAAUGAAGAAAAAAGAAAGAUGCAGCAAGAUGAACGUGAUCAUUUUAAGAAGAUCUACUUGGAGCAUGAGAAGGCUAUGCUAGGAUUGGAGGCUCAGAGAAAAGAACUGAAGUGGCGUGAGAAGCAGUUGCAACAACGUGAGUUUCAGAACGACGAUGAGAGGAGGAAGCUUCAUCAUGAGAAGAAAAAGAAUGAAAGGGCAAUCAUGGAGCAGAAAAAGGCAGAUGAAAACAUGUUGAGAUUGGCAGAAGAACAAAAGAGACAAAAAGAGAAACUCCAUAAGAAAAUCUUUGAGCUGGAAAAGAUGCUUGACGCUAAGCAAGCAUUGGAGUUGGAGAUAGAGCGCUUGAAGGGUUCUUUAAAAAUAAGGGAGCACAUGGGAGAGGACAAGAAAAAGAUGGACGCAAUCAACGAAGAAUUGAAGGAAAAAGAAGAAGAACUAGAUGCGUUGGAAACACUUAAUCAAACUCUUAUUGUUAAGGAGCGCAUGAAUAAUGAUGAAGUGCAAGAUGCUCGUAAGGAGCUAAUAAUUGGUUUAAGGGAAGAUACCCGGGCUUUUAUUCGUGUCAAGAAAAUGGGAGAGCUUGAUGAUGGACCUUUCCUUGCUGCAGCCAAGAGAAAAUUUUCUGGUGAAGCUGAUGUGAAAGCAGCAAAGCUGUGUUCACAGUGGGAUCACUAUCUGCGAGAUCCUAGCUGGCAUCCAUUUAAGAUUACCACUGAUAAGGAGGGACAUAGUGAGGAGAUUAUCAAUGAAGAUGAUGAAAAAUUGAAAGAUCUGAAGAGCGAGUAUGGUGAUGAGGUUUAUAAUGCUGUGAUAAAAGCCUUGAGAGAAAUAAAUGAAUAUAACCCCAGUGGAAGGUACAUAGUACGGGAGAUUUGGAAUUUCAAGGAGAACAGAAAAGCAUCACUAAAGGAGGGAGUAGCACAUUUACUGAAACAGUGGAAGCUGCAUAAACGAAGGAAAACCUAAGAUCAUGUGUCGCUUUACUGUAUAUACAAAUUGCAUUUUCAGCAUCAUGCAACAAGAAUCUUACACAUUUUUUGCAUCCCAGUUGAUCCACUAGGACAAAAUAGUACAUGCAACAUGCUAUGUUCCGCCAAUAAAAGUAUGAACACGGCAUACGCGACAGCUCAAAUAGGAAGCAAGUCACAAAGCAUCAGGACCAGCUCUAGUUAAGCUACAUUGUGAUGGAAGAUAAGAUGAAAAGCAGUUUCUUUAGGGAAUUUGGUUAUCGCGGUUUCUGGAUUGAUCAAUUUAGAAAUAUUAGUGUUUGUACGCUUUAGAUUGCUGAUUAUACACUCUUCUCUUUUCCAUUUUUCAACAUGAUGAGAUUUUAUAGGUGAAGUCACCAGUUAAUGUUUUUAUUGUUAAAAAAGGGGAAGCAGACACUAAAAAAUGGUGAAAAGGAUUAGGAGGGGACAAGUUGAUGAAGGCAUUAUUAAUUUUUAAUGGUAGGUUCUGAACUUCUAGUUAGUUUAGAACUCAUGAGGGUUUUGUUGAAAUAAUUGAAAUUAUGAAUGUUGCUACUUUUACUACUCUAGAACAUAUUGUGCUAGUUGAGAGUAUGCACUGACGAAUGGAAAGGGCAGAAAUCAAAGAGAAUUGUGUCUUGGGGGAGGAUUGAAAAUUGCAAAUAACAUUUGAAUACAUUCCAUUUUGGCACGAAGUUGGCAAAUCGAUCUUUCUCAUGACAAAGCCUGCAUGAAGGUACGUUUCUGCUUGAACAGUGAAAGUAGUCAAAAGUACCAUUGAAGUGGUCAGUGCUGAAUUGUCAAUACAAGAAAAAUUGAAUUGCACAAGGUUUUGAUGAUUUGUACACUACAGCUUCACCAUCAGUCGAGCUUGAACCAGUUCACACCGAUGAGAAUUGAGAAUGAAGAAAAAAUAAGAAAUCCUAAAAAAAAUAAAAUUGCAGUCAUUUUGUUCUCUCUUUCAUUCUUGGGGUUGUGGUUUGGUAAGUUUUUGAUCUGCGUGGUUUUGGUGCUGUGAGCACAAAAACAAGUUUAGCUUAUCAGAUAUUGGUCACUGUAAGUAGUGUACAAAGGAAGAAGAGAGGAUAAAUCUUAUGAUAAAUAUUUUUUUUUU
rnacentral:misc_RNA from 1 species